UACAGAGGGUGCAAGCGUUAAUCGGAGUUACUGGGCGUAAAGGGCGCGUAGGCGGUCUUUUAAGUGAGUUGUGAAAUCCCCGGGCUUAACCUGGGAACUGCAACUUAUACUGGGAGACUGGAGUACUGUAGAGGGUAGUGGAAUUUCCGGUGUAGCGGUGAAAUGCGUAGAGAUCGGAAGGAACACCAGUGGCGAAGGCGGCUACCUGGACAGAUACUGACGCUGAGGCGCGAGAGCGUGGGGAG
rnacentral:rRNA from 1 species